rnacentral:rRNA from 1 species
GACAGAGGGUGCAAGCGUUAAUCGGAAUUAUUGGGCGUAAAGCGCACGUAGGUGGAUUAGUAAGUUGGAUGUGAAAUCCCUGGGCUUAACCUGGGAAUUGCAUUCAAUACUGCUAGUCUAGAGUACAGUAGAGGGAAGUGGAAUUUCCGGUGUAGCGGUGAAAUGCGUAGAUAUCGGAAAGAACAUCAGUGGCGAAGGCGACUUCCUGGACUGAUACUGACACUGAGGCGCGAAAGCGUGGGGAGCAAACAGG